rnacentral:rRNA from 1 species
UUCCAGACUCCUACGGGAGGCAGCAGUGAGGAAUAUUGGUCAAUGGCCGCAGGGCUGAACCAGCCAAGUCGCGUGAGGGAUGACGGUCCUAUGGAUUGUAAACCUCUUUUGUCAGGGAGCAAAGGGCGCCACGUGUGGCGUUUUGCGAGUACCUGAAGAAAAAGCAUCGGCUAACUCCGUGCCAGCAGCCGCGGUAAUACGGAGGAUGCGAGCGUUAUCCGGAUUUAUUGGGUUUAAAGGGUGCGCAGGCGGAAUGUCAAGUCAGCGGUAAAAUUUCGGGGCUCAACCCCGUCGUGCCGUUGAAACUGGCGUUCUUGAGUGAGCGAGUAGUAUGCGGAAUGCGUGGUGUAGCGGUGAAAUGCAUAGAUAUCACGCAGAACUCCGAUUGCGAAGGCAGCUUACUAAACUGCCACUGACAUUGAUGCUCGAAAGUGUGGGUAUCAAACAGGAUUAGAUACCCUUGUA